rnacentral:RNase_P_RNA from 1 species
CGAGCAGGCCAGACGGUCGCGGCGGCGAAAGCCGUCGAGGAAAGUCCGGACUCCACAGGGCAGGGAAGCGGGUAACACCCGUCCGCCGCGAGGCGAGGACCAGCGCCACAGUGACGAUCCGCGCAAGCGGGUGAAACGAGGCAAGCUCUUCCCGGAGCAAGGCGAUGUAUGGGGGCGAUGGCGUGGCCCGCGCCGUCCCCGGGUGCGCCGCUAGAGGCGGAGGGUGACCUCCGUCCCAGAGAGAUGACCGUCCACGACGGGAUCCGGCUUAUUGGCCUGCUCGGGUC